GCCGAGUAGGUGGCGAGUUGUAGCCUCGUAGACGGGCGAGAAAGCCCCCCAACCAA
rnacentral:tRNA from 1 species